UACGUAGGGUGCAAGCGUUAAUCGGAAUUACUGGGCGUAAAGCGUGCGUAGUCGGUUAUUCAAGUCGGGCGUGAAAGCCCCGGGCUCAACCUGGGAAUUGCGUCCGAUACUGUCUAGCUAGAGUUCGGCAGAGGGAAGUGGAAUUUCAGGUGUAGCGGUGAAAUGCGUAGAUAUCUAAAGGAACAUCAGUGGCGAAAGCGACUUCCUGGACCAGAACUGACGAUCAGGCACGAAAGCGUGGGGAGCAAACAGG
rnacentral:rRNA from 1 species